GACGAACGCUGGCGGCGUGCUUAACACAUGCAAGUCGAACGAAGAGCGAUGGAAGCUUGCUUCUAUCAAUCUUAGUGGCGAACGGGUGAGUAACGCGUAAUCAACCUGCCCUUCAGAGGGGGACAACAGUUGGAAACGACUGCUAAUACCGCAUACGAUCUGACCUCGGCAUCGAGGAUAGAUGAAAGGUGGCCUCUACAUGUAAGCUAUCACUGAAGGAGGGGAUUGCGUCUGAUUAGCUAGUUGGAGGGGUGACGGCCCACCAAGGCGAUGAUCAGUAGCCGGUCUGAGAGGAUGAACGGCCACAUUGGGACUGAGACACGGCCCAGACUCCUACGGGAGGCAGCAGUGGGGAAUCUUCCGCAAUAGACGAAAGUCUGACGGAGCAACGCCGCGUGAGUGAUGACGGCCUUCGGGUUGUAAAGCUCUGUUAAUCGGGACGAAAGGCCUUUUUGCGAAUAGUGAGAAGGAUUGACGGUACCGGAAGAGAAAGCCACGGCUAACUACGUG
rnacentral:rRNA from 1 species